AUUGAACGCUGGCGGCAGGCCUAACACAUGCAAGUCGAGCGGAUGAGGGGAGCUUGCUCCUGGAUUCAGCGGCGGACGGGUGAGUAAUGCCUAGGAAUCUGCCUGGUAGUGGGGGAUAACGUCCGGAAACGGGCGCUAAUACCGCAUACGUCCUGAGGGAGAAAGUGGGGGAUCUUCGGACCUCACGCUAUCAGAUGAGCCUAGGUCGGAUUAGCUAGUUGGUGGGGUAAAGGCCUACCAAGGCGACGAUCCGUAACUGGUCUGAGAGGAUGAUCAGUCACACUGGAACUGAGACACGGUCCAGACUCCUACGGGAGGCAGCAGUGGGGAAUAUUGGACGAUGGGCGAAAGCCUGAUCCAGCCAUGCCGCGUGUGUGAAGAAGGUCUUCGGAUUGUAAAGCACUUUAAGUUGGGAGGAAGGGCAGUAAGUUAAUACCUUGCUGUUUUGACGUUACCAACAGAAUAAGCACCGGCUAACUUCGUG
rnacentral:rRNA from 1 species